GAAAUUUGCCACCUCCCCUUGAAAAAUUCUAGAAUGCAACGGGUAUAUUAGUGACGUGGCGUAACAAACCAAUCAAAUUAAUGCUUUUAAGAAUAUAUGUCCCAUCAUAAUUGUAAAAAAAUAUUUUUAUUGUACUUUUGUUUGAAAAAAAGGAAUAUGAUUGGCUUGUUAUUGAUGACGUAGUGCAAGUGUGACAGUGUAGAAUUC
rnacentral:lncRNA from 1 species